GACGAACGCUGGCGGCGUGCCUAAUACAAGCAAGUCGAGCGAAUUUUUGGGAGCUUGCUCCCAAAGGUUAGCGGCGGACGGGUGAGUAACACGUGGGCAACCUGCCUAUAAGACUGGGAUAACUUCGGGAAACCGGAGCUAAUACCGGAUAAUUCAUAUCUACUCAUGUAGGUAUGCUGAAAGACGGUUUACGCUGUCACUUAUAGAUGGGCCCGCGGCGCAUUAGCUAGUUGGUGAGGUAACGGCUAACCAAGGCAACGAUGCGUAGCCGACCUGAGAGGGUGAUCGGCCACACUGGGACUGAGACACGGCCCAGACUCCUGCGGGAGGCAGCAGUAGGGAAUCUUCCGCAAUGGACGAAAGUCUGACGGAGCAACGCCGCGUGAGUGAUGAAGGUUUUCGGAUCGUAAAACUCUGUUGUUAGGGAAGAACAAGUACUAGAGUAACUGCUAGUAUCUUGACGGUACCUAACCAGAAAGCCACGGCUAACUACGUGCCAGCCGCCGCCGUAA
rnacentral:rRNA from 1 species